CAAAGGGAGCGAUUCCGGCAACGGAUGGGCAUGCGUGACAUUAGCUAGUUGGCGGGGCAACGGCCCACCAAGGCGACGAUGUCUAGGGGUUCUGAGAGGAAGGUCCCCCACACUGGUACUGAGACACGGACCAGACUCCUACGGGAGGCAGCAGUGAGGAAUAUUGGUCAAUGGGCGCGAGCCUGAACCAGCCAAGUCGCGUGAGGGAUGACGGCCCUACGGGUUGUAAACCUCUUUUGUCGGGGAGCAAAUUCCGUUACGUGUAACGGAGUCGAGAGUACCCGAAGAAAAAGCAUCGGCUAACUCCGUGCCAGCAGCCGCGGUAAUACGGAGGAUGCGAGCGUUAUCCGGAUUUAUUGGGUUUAAAGGGUGCGUAGGCGGACUGUCAAGUCAGCGGUAAAAUACGGGGGCUCAACCUCCGCCCGCCGUUGAAACUGACGGUCUUGAGUGGGCGAGAAGUAUGCGGAAUGCGUGGUGUAGCGGUGAAAUGCAUAGAUAUCACGCAGAACUCCGAUUGCGAAGGCAGCAUACCGGCGCCCAACUGACGCUGAAGCACGAGAGCGUGGGUAUCGAACAGGAUUAGAUACCCUGGUAGUCCACGCAGUAAACGAUGAAUACUAGCUGUCCGGGGCGAAUGAGCCCUGG
rnacentral:rRNA from 1 species